rnacentral:rRNA from 1 species
UACGUAGGGUGCAAGCGUUAAUCGGAAUUACUGGGCGUAAAGCGUGCGCAGGCGGUUUUGUAAGCCAGAGGUGAAAUCCCCGGGCUCAACCUGGGAACUGCCUUUGUGACUGCAAGGCUUGAGUGCGGCAGAGGGGGAUGGAAUUCCGCGUGUAGCAGUGAAAUGCGUAGAUAUGCGGAGGAACACCGAUGGCGAAGGCAAUCCCCUGGGCCUGCACUGACGCUCAUGCACGAAAGCGUGGGGAGCAAACAGG